rnacentral:pre_miRNA from 1 species
GGUCGGUUUAUGACCAAACCGGUCGGUUUGGUACCGAAUCGGCCGGUUCGGUACCAGACUGGCCGAUUCCGUCAUAAACCGGUCGGUUCUGUCAUAAACCAGCC